UUGCGGCCUUAUAACGUUGAAACAUCGGUUCUCGUACGAUCACCGAAGAUAAGCAACGUCGACCCUGGUCAGUAACUAGAUUGGCGACCGCUUGGGGAUACCAGGUGCUGUAAG